rnacentral:rRNA from 1 species
UACAGAGGUCUCAAGCGUUGUUCGGAUUCAUUGGGCGUAAAGGGUGCGUAGGUGGCGCCGUAAGUCGGGUGUGAAAUUUCGGAGCUUAACUCCGAAACUGCAUUCGAUACUGCGGUGCUUGAGGACUGGAGAGGAGACUGGAAUUCAUGGUGUAGCAGUGAAAUGCGUAGAGAUCAUGAGGAAGACCAGUGGCGAAGGCGGGUCUCGUGGACAGUUCCUGACACUGAGGCACGAAGGCCAGGGGAGCAAACGGG